rnacentral:tRNA from 1 species
GGCUCCGUGGCUUAAUGGUUACGGCUUCUGCCUCACAAGCAGAAGGUCCAGGGAUCAAAUCCCGGUCGGUACCU